GGGGCCCUAGAACUCCAAGAUGAUAUGCCCUUUGUCUUCUGCUACCAGGGUGGGUAGGGAAGGACCCUCAGGUGAGGGUGGGGUAGGCACCUCUGAGCUCAGGCUCUCCUUGGGCGGUCCUUGCUGCGGCUGCUGUGGGGGCUGGGGGUGAGAUUCCCAGGUCACUGGAGUUAUGUACCUAGGAGGAUUAUGUCUGCCUCUGCUGAGUCAUGCAGGUUGUCAGGGAAGUGGGGGAAAGCCGGCAGUCACAGGGCUCACCCAGCUCCCACCCAAACCAAAGGGCCGGUCUCACUCCCACCGUGCACCCCCCAACAGCCCCCAGUCCGUUUCCAGGCGGAGAGGGAUACAGGCCUGAAAACCUGCCCCAGGCUACCCGCCUCCCAGCUGCGAGAGAAAAAGGCUUGGUUCUUCCCCCGCCUGUGGAGUCAGCACCCCGGAUUCGUGCCCUGCCCUAGUUCUGGCCAGGAGGAUUCUCACCCAGUUCAAACUGUUACAACGCUCAGCUAGAGAUUUCCUUCUCCCUGUGGAGUUUUACCCCCUCCUCUCCCGAUGGAUCCCUGUGGUGCCAGCAGGAAUGGGCUGCUCGGGGACCCAGCGAGCUCCGCGGGCCUUUCCGCUGCUUCCUCUACCCCUGUACCUCACUGGGCUCCCCAGACGGACUCAGCUCCAGGUGUCUGUGAACUCAAGAGAAGCCUUUCAUUCUAGACAUAGUAGUUAUUUUCUAAAUCAUCUUUAAACUUAUUUGCUGGAAUAUUGUGGGGGUAAAGUGCAAACUUCCCCUUCACCAUCUGAAGGUUUGCUAAAAAUCAACAGGCAGAAGGCGAAUUAACAGGAGAAAUGGCAUGCCAAUUUGUUUGAUCACAGUUUUACAUGAAGAAUGAAGACCCAAAGACACAUGAGAAAUUGUCCAUUUUUAUGCAACACCAGACCAGGCGAUGCUCUAAGACAGGUACAACAAAGUAUGGACAUGCGUGUAGAAAUACGAGUCAACUAAAGGGUGUGAUCUACUGCUAAUAGGCUGAGUGGGGACACCCAGACUCUUCCUGGCCCCUGUGAGCAGCUUCCUUUCCUUCUGGUGUGGGGCAGGAACUUCUCUGGAAUGGGGAUCUUCUGACCCACAGUCAAACAAGAAUUGGACAGAAGUCACAUCAGGGAGACCAGAGACUAGAGUAUUGCAUCAUAGAGGAAAGACACUGAUGACAAGACCUCAGGGGAGCAGUGGAACUGGAGGCCUGGGAGCUUGGGACGUGUUCUCCGGGUGAAGUUGGCUGGCCAGCUGAUGACCUACACCAGUGCCAUUCACUCCUCAUGUGUCCCCCGGGAAUUCAUAGUGUGUGUCAUCAGGUAAAAGCAACACUACUUUCAGAUGUUUUCUGAUCUCUUUGAGAUCUGGACAACACUACUGUGUACAUAUGGCCAGCAACAAAUUACACUCAAUGAAUAUUUUAGAGAGCAGCAAAGUAAUCAAUUAAAAUGUGGGUAAACAAAAAUCACUGUGAUCACAGCUCUGUCUACAUGGUUCUUUGGUAAAAAAUUAGAAUCCUGGGGAUUAGUCUGAGGAUAAAUAUUAUUUAAAAAGCAUUUUGGUUAAAUAGUAAUUAGUAAAUUUUGCUCUGCCGAAAAAUCAUAUAUAUUGACAAUAAAUUUUGUCAAAUUUAUUAAUAACCAGUCUGAAACUCUAUAAAGAUGAAUCCUCAAAAUAUGGAUAUAAAAGAAGGGUUUAGUUUUGUUUUAUUUUCAGACAGCUAUUUUUAAAAAAAUAGUAAAAAUGUCAAAACAAUCUGGUUUUAUUUUAUUAUAAAUUACAAAGAAAAAAAUACUUCCCUUUUUGUUGUUGAGCUUAUCUAUUCACAAACACAGAAAGUAGCAAAAGAGGUUUUUGAUAGCACGCCAUCCCCCAUUUAAAAUACAUUUAAAGACAUCCAAUAAUCAUCAUCAUUUAGAAGGAAUCCAUCAAAACGUUUCCUAUUAAUACUCAUUUUAUUAGUUCAGCUGAAUGGAAACAGUAGCAUGCUUACAUUUAAGAAAGUUCAUUAUGGGUUCGUUUUCUUUUUAACAAGAAAGGGGAAACAAAAUAAUGCCCAAACACACAGUGUUGCUGGAGUCAAAACAAAGAAAAUUCAUCAAAGCAUCUAUGAGAGCUAUCCUGGGAUAAUCUAUUCUAGAGAAGACAAUACAAAUUGGCUGCAAUUGACAGGUCGUAAGUUCCUGGGGGAAAGUCAUUAUAAGCACAUCAUAGCACAUUUGGCCGAUUGCUCAGUGUUCCACACACUGACAUCAAGAACACAUUUCCAAUCCAUAUUCUGAUUGGUUAAAUGUGGUUUAGGCAGCCUUUCAGCUUUCAGAGAAAUGGUCAAAUUCUUUCUUUUCAAAAUUCCCAGGCCAAGUCAUAAUAAUGUACUGAUCUCAUGGAAGUAUUCCUGCAGUAAUCACUUCGAGUUCCUUCGUUGUGCCUCCACUGCUCUUUCAUUCAGCAAUUGCCGUUUUGUGUGUUAUCAUAGAAGAAUAACAAAGAAUUAGACUCAUGACUCUGAACAGAGGCUUGCUUUUUACAUGAGUAUUAUUAUUUCAUCCUUGGAAAUCCUGGAAAACUUCUUACUAUUUUGGAUACUAGGUCCAGAGUCUGUUUGUUUACAGCAUGGAUGCUGACUGGUUGCAGUCAGAGGGUGAUAUGCCAGUGCGUGAAGGAAAUAGGGCAAAAUGUAAACAUUGUACGUUUAGUAGUGCUCUUUCUGCAGGCAAGGAGAGAUUGAUUGAUUUCUCAAGUGCAACUUGUCUGGGGGAACAUGGGAUUUUAUUCUAUUUUAUUUCAUUUCAUUUCAUUUCAUUUAUGUUUGAGACAGACUCUUGCUGUGUUCCCCAGGCUGGAGUACAAUGGCGUGAUGUCGGCCCACUGCAACCUCCGCCUCCUGGGUUCAAGCAAUUCUCCUGCCUCAGCCUCCUGGGUAGCUGGGAUUAUAGGCGCACACCAUCAUGCCUAGCUAAUUUUUGUAUUUUCGUAGAGACGAGGUUUCUCCAUGUUGGUCAGGCUGGUCUUGAACUCCUGACCUCAGGUGAUCUGCCCGCCUCGGCCUCCCAAAGUGCUGGGAUUACAGAUAUAAGCCUCUGUGCCCGGCCAAGCAUGGGAUUUUACAAUAGCAUCGUAAGAAAUUCUAUCUUUUUCCCUGAGUAUUCAAUUUACACCCAUGUUUCGAAUGAGCAGUGAGCACCAGCACGGAGAUCGGAGCCCCGUGUUACUUGUACGUGAAGGUGUCAGUGCCUGAGUGUGCUAGUGCUGCUGAUACUCACACCAAAUAGCAAACAAGAGCCGGCAAUCUAACCUGUUAAAAAUAAUAGGCAAAUGGGAAGAGAGGACUGAGGAAUCUCCUUGAAGUUUCCCUUCACUGAUGGGUGCUAAAGAUGUAUGCCUUGGGGUUUUUUAGAUGACAUCGAUGUAAUCCCCUUCAAAAAUAGUGACGGAAGAACAGACUUCUUCACCUUAUUAAUUUCCUGCGGCAUCAAAGUCCCUUUGAGAGUCUUUCUGUUCCAAUUUUUCCUCAAGUUCACAAAAUGUUGGCUGUCAGCGUUAUUGUGGGUUAAGACAGAAGGUCCUCCUUUCCUGACCCCAGAGAUCCCAGAUCAUCCCAGUGUUUGUUUAUUUUCUAAAAUGUCCAUUUUGCUUAGAAAUAAACACAAAUUGGUGACAUUUA